CAUUCCGAACAGAGAAGUUAAGCCCGCCAGAGCCGAUGGUACUGCGGUAACACGUGGGAGAGUAGGUCGGUGCCAACC
rnacentral:rRNA from 1 species